AAGAGGUUCAACAGAACAUCUAGAUAAUGAAUGGUAUUGGUUGAUGAAGAGGUUCAACAGAACAUCUAGAUAAUGAAUGGUAUUGGUUGAUGAAGAGGUUCAACAGAACAUCUAGAUAAUGAAUGGUAUUGGUUGAUGAAGAGGUUCAACAGAACAUCUAGAUAAUGAAUGGUAUUGGUUGAUGAAGAGGUUCAACAGAACAUCUAGAUAAUGAAUGGUAUUGGUUGAUGAAGAGGUUCAACAGAACAUCUAGAUAAUGAAUGGUAUUGGUUGAUGAAGAGGUUCAACAGAACAUCUAGAUAAUGAAUGGUAUUGGUUGAUGAAGAGGUUCAACAGAACAUCUAGAUAAUGAAUGGUAUUGGUUGAUGAAGAGGUUCAACAGAACAUCUAGAUAAUGAAUGGUAUUGGUUGAUGAAGAGGUUCAACAGGACAUCUAGAUAAUGAAUGGUAUUGGUUGAUGAAGAGGUUCAACAGAACAUCUAGAUAAUGAAUGGUUUCAUCUUCAACCAUCCUCUCAGUGACAGUGCUGCUCUUAAUAGCCUAAGCUUUGCUCAAUAAAUCAUACAUU